rnacentral:lncRNA from 10 species
CUGGGUGAGACCACCGCACAGAGCCAAGCUGUCCAAGAAGAAAAGCUAUUUCAGAGAAAAGCAAAAGAAGAGAUUAGGACUCUGCAGAAGGUUUUGUUUGUGGAAAGGCUUUUACUGCUGAAAGCUAACAGUAGGACAUUCUAUGGAAUACCUGACCAGUACUCCUUGAAACUUCAGUCACGAAAAACAAGGAGAGACUGAGAAACUCUCAAGAACCAGAGGAGACCAAGGAGACACAAACACCAAAUGCAAUGUGAUAUCCUGGGUGGAAUGCCGGAACGGAAAAGGGACCUUAGGAGAAAAAUUCAUGAAAUCCGAAUAAAGUCUGGAGUUUAGUUCACAGCAAAGCACCAGUGUUGACAUCUUCAUUUUGGCAAAUGUUCCAUGAUGAUGUAGGAGGUUAACAUUAAGAGAACUGGAUAAGGGAUAUAUGGGAACUUUCUGUACUUUCUUUUCAACUUUUCUAUAAAUCUAGAAUUAUUAAACCCAAAUUGUAAAAGUUUAUUUUUAAAAGAUAGCAUUCAAAAACCGUCAGACAAAUGAGCUCCAAAUACAUCCAGAGAUGAGAAGAAAGACGG